rnacentral:rRNA from 1 species
UAAUACGGAGGAUGCAAGCGUUAUCCGGAUUUAUUGGGUUUAAAGGGUGCGUAGGCGGAAUGAUAAGUCAGUGGUGAAAUCCCCCGGCUCAACCGGGGAACUGCCAUUGAUACUGCCAUUCUUGAGUACAGUUGAGGUGGGUGGAAUGUAUCAUGUAGCGGUGAAAUGCAUAGAUAUGAUACAGAACACCGAUAGCGAAGGCAACUCACCAAACUGUAACUGACGCUGAGGCACGAAAGCGUGGGGAGCAAACAGGAUUAGAUACCCUGGUAGUCCACGCUGUAAACGAUGAUCACUCGCUGUUAGCGAUACACAGUUAGCGGCUAAGCGAAAGCAUUAAGUGAUCCACCUGGGGAGUACGGUCGCAAGAUUG